rnacentral:rRNA from 1 species
UACGGAGAGUGCAAGCAUUAAUCGGAAUUAUUGGGCGUAAAGGGCGCGUAGGCGGAUUUGUAAGUCAGAUGUGAAAUUCCGAAGCUCAACUUCGGAGCUGCAUUUGAAACUGCUUGUCUAAAGAGGGUUGACGGAGAAAACGGAAUUCCACGUGUAGCGGUGAAAUGCGUAGAUAUGUGGAAGAACACCGGUGGCGAAGGCGGUUUUCUAGUUGAUACCUGACGCUGAGGCGCGAGAGCAAGGGGAGCAAACAGG